UCCGUAGGUGAACCUGCGGAAGGAUCA
rnacentral:ncRNA from 23 species